CUGGGGCAUGCGCAAGAUGCCCCAGAUAUUGGCUAAGAAAAUGACUGCCUAGGAACGCCCACCCCCUCCCAGGGUGCACAGACCAGGCGUCACCUGCUCCUUGUUACAAAGACCAGCGAUGUAAGGGCACUCAGAUCAGAAGCAGCACGAGCCAAGGCCUCAGAGAGGCAAGAUGUCUUUUGUUUCCCGGCCCAUGGUGGUAGCGCAUUGGAAGGGUUCUGGAAUUUCAGGACACAAAGUAGCAGUUUUAAAUAAUGAGAGAAGAUUCCACAUGGAACGCUCAUCUGGCUGUGGCAGCCUGUGACUGAAUGAGAGAAAAGUGCCCUAGAAGCUAUUCAUUACGAAUUCACUGGAAGCUCUCAAACGAGGCUGGCAGAAGCUGAAAUUGAAGUGGUCUCUGACCUAAUUUUCUUCUGCAUGAGACAUCUGCAUCAAGGCUCUCUUUGAUGUAUUCCACUUGGCUCUGUCUACAGGAUUGUAUCACAUGGCCUCCGUGUUGCCUUCUUAUUGAAAGACAUUUUCAGCCUGAGCAAGGUAAUGCACAAUGUUACCGUUACCCAAACUAAUCACUCAAUGGGCUCCUAAAAUAGAAACAAUAGCAAUUCAGAGACACUGUUGUCUGCUGCCUGUUCCUGCAGCUUGGGCUCCUGGUUUCUCAACUUAGAUUGCUGCCAUUUGCCUCAUGUAAUUCCAAAACAAAGGACAGAAAGACAAGCAAAGUCAUGCAGGAUAAUGUUGGGACCAGGAACACACUGGAUGGGACUUCCUCUUGUUUGAUCCUUCAAACCAUUGGCUAGGAGUCGGGAUCCAUUUCAAGCCUCACAAAGCAGGGCUGAGAUGUCUCUGCCUUAGGAAAAUAAAGGCUUUCUUGAUUUA